GGAGGAAUUCAGGAAGACGUUCAAGGACAAAUUUCCUGAUUGAAAAGCUGGUCCAGCAGUUCGCAAAGCUGGCGGUGAGGAAUGGAAGUCACUUUCUGAUGCUUUAAGAUUAUGAAUCUCCUAUUUUCAUGCUAUUUCCAUUGAAAACUAAUUCGAGGCUAAAUAAUUAUUAGCAGCCUCAAUAAAUGAUUAAG